rnacentral:rRNA from 1 species
CUACGGGAGGCUGCAGUGAGGAAUAUUGGACAAUGGGCGAAAGCCUGAUCCAGCCAUGCCGCGUGCAGGAAGACGGCCCUAUGGGUUGUAAACUGCUUUUGUACGGGAAGAAACACCCCCAUGUGUGGGGGCUUGACGGUACCGUAAGAAUAAGCAUCGGCUAACUCCGUGCCAGCAGCCGCGGUAAUACGGAGGAUGCAAGCGUUAUCCGGAAUCAUUGGGUUUAAAGGGUCCGUAGGCGGACAAUUAAGUCAGAGGUGAAAUUCUGCGGCUCAACCGUAGAACUGCCUUUGAAACUGGUUGUCUUGAAUCGUUGUGAAGUGGUUAGAAUGAGCAGUGUAGCGGUGAAAUGCUUAGAGAUUGCUCAGAAUACCGAUUGCGAAGGCAGAUCACUAACAAUGUAUUGACGCUGAGGGACGAAAGCGUGGGGAGCGAACAGGAUUAGAUACCCGGGUAGUC